rnacentral:rRNA from 1 species
UAAGGGCGCACGGUGGAUGCCUUGGCACUAGAAGCCGAUGAAGGACGUUACUAACGACGAUAUGCUUUGGGGAGCUGUAAGUAAGCUUUGAUCCAGAGAUUUCCGAAUGGGGAAACCCAGCAUGAGUUAUGUCAUGUUAUCGAUAUGUGAAUACAUAGCAUAUCAGAAGGCACACCCGGAGAACUGAAACAUCUUAGUACCCGGAGGAAGAGAAAGAAAAUUCGAUUCCCUUAGUAGCGGCGAGCGAAACGGGAAGAGCCCAAACCAACAAGCUUGCUUGUUGGGGUUGUAGGACACUCUAUACGGAGUUACAAAGGACGACA